UUUUGGUAUUAUAUAGGAUAUAUUCUUUCAGUAAUAGAAUUUUGCUACACUUUUAAAUUCUCCAAAAGCAAUAAGACUACUUCAAAGUAAUUUCUAAUACUUGAGUUUAUAUAUAAAACACUGAACAAAUUAAGGUCCAUUCAUUUAUACAUUUCAUAUAUACUUAUAAAUAUAUUUUUAAAUAAUAUGUAAUUUAUUAGAAUUGUUUCAAAAAUGAUCCCAAGAUACUUGGUUUUGCAUUUGUUCAUGGUUUUAUAGACACUUGCUGAAGACAUUGUGAUCCCAUACUCUGAAAAAUGUAAUUUGAAAAGAACCUGGAUGUGCUUUACUAGGACCAAAGAACUCUGUUUAUUUUAAAUAUCAAAAUAACACAAAGAACUAAUUUAAUACGCAAGAUGUCAUCUCCUCACAAAGAACUGAAUGUUUGCUAUAAAGACAUUUAUAUUUAAGAAACACGAGACAAAAUACUAAACUCAAGAAAUUUUUCUUACAGUGGAAAAUAAUGAAUUUUGACAUUUUUGAUUUUCCUUUGCAAUUGGUUUUAAGACUGUCCUUAAUUCAAAACAAAAAUUCAGAUUAGAGACAGAAAACAAAAGCAUUUCUAUUUCAAUAUACACUGUUUCUCCCUUAAAUAGAACAGUUAUGACAGAACACUGAGCAGCUAAACAUCCAGCGCUUGGCAAUCACACUCAUCAAUUGUAGUAGUUUUACUUACAAGGAGAAAAGUCUGACUGUUAAAAGGAUAAGGGAUCACACCACAGUACAUUAUUCAACUUUAUACAAGCAGGAAUAUCAGAGAGGCAUAGUGACAAUGAGAUGUGCACAUGCUCUUCAUUCAAGAAACGUUUCAAAAUCUCCAGCAGUAAUGCAAAUAUUGAAAUUGCUUAGCUUUACUUGAAAAUUCAAAAGGUUUUCAUCUUAAGUAACAUUUGUUCUCCAAAUAACAUCUUUAAAUUCUCUCUACAUAAAUGCCUUGGGGAUCUCUCAAAGGUCAUAGACUUAAGAUCAAUAUACAGUAAGUUAAAGCAUGAAUUAGUUGAACAUAAACACACCCGCCCUACCAAUCCUCCUCCUUCCAACUUCCACACAAUCUAAUCCUAUUGCUUUAGUAAUAGUGAUCCACUUCCAAAGAGGAAGCACAAAACACCAUGCUGAUGCCAUAAGGGAAAGUAUGGUAAGUAAAACUUGUAAGAAACAUGGAAAGACACCAAAAAAGAACACACAGAAAUUACUAAAAGAAAAAUGGGCAAAAGAAAUGAGUGAGAUAUGUAGAAUUGUCUAGUACCUAUAUGCUGUGUAGAAAAUUAUAAUCAAUCCAUUACUCACUCUAAUAGCAGGUAAGAUUUAACAUAAUUCUACUUAAGUAUUUAGAAACAGUACUUACUCCUUAUUAAGUAAUGCAUUUUCAGUCUUUUUUAAAUUUGGCACUAAAUAUGUCCAAACAUGACUAUUGAAAAGCCGUGCUUUUUCCUGAGUCAUCAACUCAAGUUAGGUGUUGACUAGGAUGUUGCUGCUUGCUAACAGCAGCUCUUCUCACACCAUCAACCAUGUUCAGUUCAGGAAAGGUGAACUAAUUCUUCAGUUUAGAGCUGUGUGUUCCUCCUAACAAGUCACUUAAAAGGAGAGCAAUCAGAGAUAGACAGUAACAAGAGGAGCAGGCAUACUAUUCUUCUGUCAGAUUCUGCUAAACAUCCAGACAGGCUGAGGAGUGACUCCAGUAGCUAUAAAGGCCACAGUACAAACUUAAAAGAAGACAUGUAAAUCCUGAAGACCAAUGUCCACACUACCACUCAACACCCAAUUUUCCUAAGUUAACACAUAAAAGGCUGUUGCCCAGCCAGCAGGCAACAGGAAUAUUAAGACUCAGAACCAAAAAAUUAAACAAAAGGAACAAGUCCUUUAUUUACCAGUACAAUCUAGGCAACAGAGAAAAAUGCUACAUAACUACACAUCUCUGAAAAAGUACAAAGGUAUUUGAUCAGAAAAGAUGGUCUAAAAGGACACUCUUAAAGAACUAAUGUUCAAAACCUCUUGAUAAAUAAUAAAUUAGAGUGAUAUUGUAGGAAGAACAUUCAGCUCAUAAAUGUACCAGGUUAGUUGUGUUUAGGUAACCUGGGAUUGAGUGAAAAGCAACGGGUGGAACUGAUUAGGCCCUUAACACUUUAUAGUCACUCCAUAAAGUGGUUUUGACACUUUUUUAAAGUUGAAAGGAAUUAGUGUACUUCUUUUAUGUUACCAUCACUUAAAAGGCAGUCAGUUUAUUAAAGCACCAGUUUAAAAUGGUAUUUUUUUAUUCCUCUUUGCCCAGCAGUAAAGUUCUAAAUUAAAAGUCUGCAAACAUUUCUACUUUUGUAGUAGCAUGAAGGUAUCUUGCUGGCAUGAGGAACAAACCCUACGGGUUAAGGGGUAUUUUUAGGCUGUCAAAACCAAAAAACCUCUAAGGCAGAAAUUAUUUUUAUAAUGUAGUGUAAAAUAUAAAAUUAUUGAAUAGUGUUCAUUAAAAAACUGUACUCAACUAAACGGAGAGAAAUGAGUACUCUCACUUGUAACUGGGUGGUCAGUAUGAAUGUUCCCAGAGUAUUUUCCUCUACUUAUUUUAUACAUAUAAACACAAACACUUAAUACUUAAUCUCAGUAUUCAAACUAACAAUUUUUAAAAUUCAGUAUCCAAGAACUUCAGCUGUGCUUCUUUGGACAAAUAUAUAGUCAAACAACAAAGAAUUUAAAUUCGUUUAAACUAUUCAAUACCUACUCAAAAUCUUUGGUGCAUUAAGUCAGAGACAGUAAGUUAAUAAAUUUCUGCACUCAAUAACUUAUUCAAUUUACAGAUUAAGUGCUAACAUAUCUAUCAAAAUUAAUUUAAAACAAUAAAUUAUACUCACAAAAUAAAAUAUUCACAAUGAGGCUAAACUUACUUGUGAGAUUCAAAAUUUUAACCAUAGUUACAAAAUAAUGAUUUUAGAGUCAUAAAAAGGUCAACUAAGAAGAGUGGGGCCCAUUUUAUAAUUUUUGUGCCAACUUAAAAUACUAAUAUACAUUCAGCUUACUCAAAUCCAUGUUCUUACAUUUUUGGAAACCAGAGGGAACAGGUAAUUUUUUUCAUUAUUGUGGGUUUACUUAUUUCUUCCUAAAUAUUUCUUCCUAAAUAUAAACUAUCUACCUCCAGUCUGCAAUAGACCAAGAGAACGCAGGACUUGACCCAGUAAGCACUGGUUAAUGCUAUGGGGUCUCCUCCUUCCACUAAAGGCAGUCUGCCAUGAGAGUAGAGUCAUGAUGAGUCCUAUCUCUCUAAAAAUGGAAAUGUGUCAGUUCCUUUCUAUUUCAAAACUGCUUACGAGGUUCAAAUGAGAUAACAUGAAAAUAUUUUAGAUAACAGACACUAUUCCAGCUUUUCUACUACAAUAGCUAAGUACAAUUAUACAAUUGUAUGUCACUUUACAUAAGAGCUAUAUUCAUAAAAAGUCCUAUGUAAACCAAUUCCUAAAAUUAAGUCAUAUAUUUAACAUGUUAAAGUAUCAUUAUUGAAAGAACCUUAAAUACCUUCAAAACCCAAGGCAAUAUAUCCACUGUGAAAUGUUGUAGCCUCCUUUUCUGCCAAAAUGUACAAUUUAUCAUGCACAUGAAACACAUAUAUAACAUUUGCCUUUUCUGAUAAACCCUAAUUUUUUCUACAUUAGCUUAUCUCUAAAGCAAAGUACAUUUUAUACGUAUGAUGUUUUCAUUUCAGUAAGAUAUUUAGUUAAAAACCUUAUCUGCCUUUAGGAUAAAAAUCACAAAAUCUGUCCUCUUGAACUUGAUUUAUAAGUCUAGGACUCAUAGUGCCUCAGACUCAAGCUCCAUUGUUAGUCCCCACAGAACAUUUCUACAUUAAGUAAAUAAGAAUGCUUUAGCAAUAAGAAAUAAUAUAAAAUUAAGUUUCACUGAUCCAAAGACAAUUACAACAACCAAACUCUGAUAAGUGAGGCAAACUCAGGGGUUAUAGCUAUCAUUAUCUUCGCUCCUUUGGUUAGUGCCUCAAUUUGCAACAUGCUCUUUGAACAUUAUAUGGCAACUGUUCCUAUAAAGUACCUUUGUUUCUUAGUGCUUCAACAGUUUCCUCUUACUGUUACAUUUUAUCCACUAAAAGUUCAUCAUUUUAUUUGUGAUAUGUUUUUAAAACCCACAAGGGCCAGGCAAGACCUUACAGUUUACACACACACAUUCACACACAAAAAAGUGCUAAAAGCAAUUAGCAGUGUAAACAAAUUGAAAUAGGAAAAAGUUUGAAAACUGCUACUUUCCAGUAGUUUACAUACAAACUGCAUGUUAACAGUGAGUCAACCCUGCCUGUGUAAGCAUCAGCAGCCCCACAAGACAAACCUCAUCCUACAUAAGAUGAAAGUGAGUUGAAAAAAAUGCAAAAUGCCCAUAUCUAAAGGUAUUUCAUAAUUCUCGCAGAUUUUUUUUUUCUUUUUUUUGGAGCUGGGGACCGAACCCAGGGCCUUGCGCUUGCUAGGCAAGCACUCUACCACUGAGGCUAAAUCCCCAACCCCUUCUGGCAGAUUUUUUUUCUUCACCUAAACUUAUCUGGAGUGCUCCUGUAAUUCCUAUUUCCUUUCAUCAAGAAUUCAACCAUUGCCUCAUCCAAAAACAAGAAUGAAGAAUAGAGACAAAUUCACACAAAAGCAAAAAUAAAGAUCUGGUUUAAGUGUCAGUCUAUACACAAACGGUACUGCACUGAGCAUCAUGUUAAGUUAGGGCAAAAUCUAAGAAUGGGGUUUGGCACCUUUUCUGAUAUUCUGUUUCCCUAUUUCAAUCAGCCAAAUGUGCGAAAUGAAAUGCUAACUACAUUAUUUGAUUGAACUGCCAUUGAUUUAGUUACACUUGUCUUUCUUUAUACAUCUGUAGAUGCUGAAACAGACGAUGAAUGUGGACUAAGUGGUCAAAUACAAAUGCACAUGUAUAUUGAUAUGUAGGUGAAACUGACAUAUUUUCAUUAAGAUAUAUUCAAUUAGAUAAUUAGGUGCCUAGAUCUAAGUUUGUAUUUAUUACUUAUGAUAGUUGAAUACAGGUCCAAUUAUCUGGAUUAAAAUAACAAUUUUACAUUUCAUUUAACAUGCUAACCUUGUAUUUGUUAGCUCUUGGAUUUUGGCUUGUAAAAAACCCAAAUAUAAUGACAAAAACAAUAGAUAGAUGACAACCUGAAAGUAUCAAGAUUUUCUUACAAAAAUUGUAAGAAAUUUCAAUAAGUUUUCUAAACUCAAUUUUGAAAUUCUGAAUGAAAUAUUUAAUUAGUAUUAAAAUUUUGCCAUUAUUGACAUAUUUUUACAUCCCUUCCUAUAGACUUACAUGGUUCUUAAAACUUCAUAGCAAUAUGGGAGAGAAAAAUAGAUGAUUAGAAGUAAAAACCUUGGCUUGGGCUCACACCUAUAAUCCUAGCAAUUGUUGGCUAAGGCAGAAAGUCUGUCACAAAUUGAGGAUACCCUGGGCUACAAACUAAGACCCUGUCUCAAAAAAACAAAAAGAAAGAAAGAGAAAAAAUUUCCACUGAUGAUUUAAAAAAUAUCUCCACCAUUGUCAGCAGCUAAUAAUCUGAAAUUUUAAAAUUUCAAAAUUAGUACUAAAUGAUCUUUUUUAAAAAAAUCAUACUUCUAAUAUCAUGUUAAAAUGUGUCCAAGUAUUCAGUCAAUAGAAAUAAACUUUUCUUGAUUUGAAGCUGUUCUGAAGACUUGAGAAAUUAUUUAAAAAAAAAAAAAAAUGGAGCAAAAACAGCAGCCCUACUCAUUCAAAGCCAGUAGCUUCUGACUGUCAGCUUACAAGCAUCAAGAGGUCUAUGGAAUGUUUGACUCAUGAACGAUGCUCACUAGUGGACAUAUUCUGAACAGCAGUUUGUGCUAUCAAGGCCCAGUAAUGUUCCAAGAUAAGACGGUUCUCUAGGAUCUAGCAUCUGUUCAGGUCGGACUGGGUGAACUAUAUUUGCAGGCUGAGAGUAAGAGUGUAUUUUUCCAGAAAUGCUAAGUCUGCUGCACGAGGAUAAUCAGUUGGCUGCGUCUGUGGUGGCAGCAUCUCAUGGGACGAUGUGGGGAGUGUGGUAGUAUGGAGACACCAGAUCGCUGGAUGUGUCAGGCAUCUGAACUGGGACCAAUGUUACUGGAACACAUACUUCCGCAGACACAUUCUGUAGCAUAGUCUUGGCUUCCGACUGAUAAACUUUGGGCUGGUCCAGAUACUGUUUUGUUUCUGCUUGAAAGAUCUUAUCAUCAGAUGAGUACUCUAUUGGCAAAGACAUGAGUUUUUCCUCAGAAGUACUGAGAGAAUCAUCAGGAGAUUUUAUUCCCAUGAACAUGGUCAAUGUGGUACUUCAGCUUAUCUUUCCGCUUAAACGUUGCAUUACAGUGUUGACAAUUGAAAGGCCGAGCAUCAGAGUGAAUAACCAGGUGUUUUGUUAAAGUUUUCUUAAUUCUAAAUGACUGAUUGCAAAUUUGACACUUGUAUGGUUUUUUCACCUGUAUGUACAAAAUCAAAAUUAAUGUAUAAUGUACCCACUUGAUACGAUGUCAAAUUUUAAGUAGCAAAUUUAUCACAUGCAUACCUGUAAAA
rnacentral:lncRNA from 1 species